rnacentral:tRNA from 1 species
GAAUAAGAAACAAAUUCUUGUAUUUAGUUUCGACCUAAAAAAUAGGCAUAAAUUGCCCUUAUUUA